rfam:Paenibacillus antarcticus strain CECT 5836 PBAT12, whole genome shotgun sequence.
AGGUCAUGUCUACUAUACCUUUAUCACGGUAGACACUCGAUCAUGCUGUGGGUAUGAAUGUACCUUAGACGAUCAUCGUCGGAAGUGUGGUGUGAGGGUGGGUUUAAUGCCCC